rnacentral:rRNA from 1 species
UUAAUGGAGAGUUUGAUCCUGGCUCAGGACGAACGCUGGCGGCGUGCCUAAUACAUGCAAGUCGAGCGGAGUUAUGAAGGAGCUUGCUCCCGAAUCACUUAGCGGCGGACGGGUGAGUAACACGUAGGCAACCUGCCCUUCAGACUGGGAUAACUACCGGAAACGGUAGCUAAUACCGGAUAAUUCCUUUCUUCGCCUGAGGGAAGGAUGAAAGACGGAGUAAUCUGUUACUGAGGGAUGGGCCUGCGGCGCAUUAGCUAGUUGGUGGGGUAACGGCUCACCAAGGCGACGAUGCGUAGCCGACCUGAGAGGGUGAACGG